GCGUUACUGAUGAGUCUUAUGUAGACGAAACGCGCGUCUGGCGUACUGAAUUAUAAUCCUGGUACCUUUGAUAACUAUUGUGUGGUUCAAUCAUUUGUAGAGUUUCAAAACAUUUAUUUCGAGGUGUUGAAAAACGAUAUAUAACACAAUAAAAUGUGUUUCUUUUCUAGAUACAAUUACAUAUAAGCUUACAACGGCGCUCAUAAUUCAUUUCCCUGUUAUGAAGCUUAAAUGUUGCUUAGUCUUUAUUUUUCUAUGUUAUGUCUUGUGUUCUAUUAUUUGUUUGUUUGUUUGUCUUUUCUUUUUUAGCCAUUGCAUUGUCAGUUUAUUUUCGAUCUAUGUGUUUGACUUCCCUCUGGUGUCUUCCGCCCCUCUUAAAUACAUUUAAAAUGAAAUAAGGUGUUUGUCAUGUCUACAGUUAAUUUAUAAAUCAAAAAUCAACUUCAAAAUUAAACAGGAAACUUUUCUGGCAAACAGCGAUUAUUAAUUCCUUCAAAUCAAUAUCCUUGAAAAUAAUUGUUAAAAACGCAUUGUACAUACUAAAGUAAUA
rnacentral:lncRNA from 1 species